ACGGGAGGCGACAGUGGGGAAUAUUGGACAAUGGGGGCAACCCUGUAUCCAGCAAUGCCGCGUGCAGGAAGAAGGCCUUCGGGUUGUAAACUGCUUUUGUACGGAACGAAAAGGCUCUGGUUAAUACCUGGGGCACAUGACGGUACCGUAAGAAUAAGCACCGGCUAACUACGUGCCAGCAGCCGCGGUAAUA
rnacentral:rRNA from 1 species